AUUAAACGCUGGCGGCAUGCCUUACACAUGCAAGUCGAACGGCAGCACGGGGGCAACCCUGGUGGCGAGUGGCGGACGGGUGAGUAAAGCAUCGGAACGUAUCCUGGAGUGGGGGAUAACGUAGCGAAAGUUACGCUAAUACCGCAUAUUCUGUGAGCAGGAAAGCAGGGGAUCGCAAGACCUUGCGCUCUGGGAGCGGCCGAUGUCGGAUUAGCUAGUUGGUGGGGUAAAAGGCCUACCAAGGCGACGAUCCGUAGCGGGUCUGAGAGGAUGAUCCGCCACACUGGGACUGAGACACGGCCCAGACUCCUACGGGAGGCAGCAGUGGGGAAUUUUGGACAAUGGGCGGAAGCCUGAUCCAGCCAUGCCGCGUGAGUGAAGAAGG
rnacentral:rRNA from 1 species